rnacentral:lncRNA from 1 species
GGGAUGCGCCCCAGCCAUCCCCAACAGCGCCACACAAAGAUCUCUCAGCAAUCGCUGUAGAAGCAAAAUAUUGAGGGAGCUGCGAAGCGCAGAGGAUUUCCGCAAGUGUGGUUUUUGAACGAAUGAACAAAUGAAUGCAUUUACUUGGAAUAUAUUCUCCCUCUUGCUGGAGAGACUUUGCUGGGCAGGUGAAUGUAAUGGAAGCUGGGAGCCCGUCGCCCAUUGUAAUGUACUUGGUGACCUUGUCUUUCUUUCUGUGCCCACCUCCACCCAGAUCAAUUCAUGUCGCCAAUAAUACGGAGUCGAGGGGAAGCAGCACCUUUUCUAACUUGCACUAAGGCACCCCGGUGUUCCUGUUUCGCUGGCCAUGCCUCUGCCUGCAACGCCCUUUGCCCAGGUUGGUUUUGUUGGACAGAAAAGAAUCUUCCAAUCUUGGGCCUAGAGGGACAUGGUCCGGCUGCUGGCAUGCUUGGAGCCAAGUCUCGACAUCACUCUGUGUUUGGGCGCAGAAGGCUCUGAACUAGUUACUGGGCUCUCGCUGUGAACAAGGCAGACACUGUCCCUGCCUUCUCUUGAAACUAUGUUCUGGCAGAAGGUACAAGCAUGAAACAGAAAAAUAAUGCAGUAUCAAUCAUUCCAUAAAAAGUAACAGCUUCAUUGGCAAGUUCUAAGUGUUUUUGUUAAUGAAUCACUCUGAAAGGGAGAGGAGAAGAUUUAAUUUGCUUAGGAAUGAGGAUCAACUGUGUGACAUUUGUUUCCUGGUUUCUGUCUUCAUAUUUUUAAGAUCAGACCUUCAACAAUAAAGGUAAGUCACUUGUCUUAGACGGUUUGUUACUGUCCUCUCCACACCAUCUGUUAAGAUACAACCUCUCUCUGCUGAUGUUUUUAACACAGACAGGCAAAUUUGAUCCAGGAACUUUGUUAUGGUAUGUACAAAUCUAAGUUUCCAGGCUCCAUGGACAUCAUUAACCCAAAAUAUCCCUACUGGACCGCACGAGACUGACCCAUCCUCUAGUCAUAGAUAGCCACAAGGAACAAAAAGGAAGCUCAGAUUUGUUUGGACAGAUAGGCCAAUACUGGAGGUCCAUCCAAUACCUGAUGGAUUUGCUAUUACACAGCUGUUUUUUUUUGUUUUGUUUGUUUGUUUUAGGGCUGCACCUUCGGCAUAUGGAAGUUCCCAGGCUAGAGGUCAAAUCGGAGCUACCGCAGCCGGCCUAUGAUACAGCCACAGCCAUGUGGGAUCCAAGUUGCAACUGUGGUCUACACCACAGCUCAUGGCAAUGCCGGAUCCUUAACCCACUGAGCAAGGCCAGGGAUCGAACCUGCAUGCUCGUGGAUCCUAGUUAGGUUCAUUAACCCCUGAACCAUGAUGGGAACUCCCUACACAGCUGUUCUUGCCUGGGAAGAGGAGCAGGGCACACUUGGACUGCUUUCCAAGAUUCUGUGACUCAGUGAUGAACUUUCAAAAAACAACAGCACACCAUUGGCUAAAACCAUCUGGGUAAGUUUACAAGAACUCAAAGCAGACUGGAUCAGAAAGGCAGCAAGAUUUUUGUUGUUUCCCAGUUGGAACCAGAGGCUGAUUCAAGGUUAAGAUUCAGCGAAAGCUGGCAGAUGUGCUACUUUUAUGGCCAUCAUCUGUCACUCAAGCAUUUUUGAGUUGUUUUCUCACUAGAGAUGAUCUCAUCCUUCUUUGCUCUGGGCUCCUUGCUACCAAAUUACAGCUUUUGAAAUGAAUACCCAGGUAGGGGUGCCAACUUUGGCGUUUCAACACCACUCUUGCUGCUCAUGCUCAGAGAGUUCAAGUGGCUUAAAAUUAAUGGAGGUCAUAAAACCAGUUAGUAUUCGAACACAGGUUGAACUCGGAUCUCUUAUCUUCUCUCUUUACCAUGCUGAAUUACAUAAAUCAUCCCAGUGUUUAAGAUAGAUUGCUUUUCCUCCCUGUGAUAAGUGGAACAAUGACACCCUCCCCGCCCCCCCCCCCCCCGCCACACCCCUCCAUGUCUACACCCUAAACUGUGGAACCUAUGAAUAUGUUUUGUCCACAUGGCAAAGAGAAUUGGGGUUGCAGAUGGAAUUAAGAUUGCUAAUUAACUGAGUUUAUAACGGGGAGAUUAUCCUGGAUUAUCAGGACGAGUCCAAUGUAAUCACAGAGGUCUUGAAACGUGGAAGGAGGUAUAAGAGCCAGUGUUGGAGCGGAGGUGGCAUCAUGCAGCAGUGGAAACAAAUCUGACUAGGAACCAUGAGGUUUUCGGGUUCCAUCCCUGGCCUCGUGCAGUGGGUUAAGGAUCUGGCAUUGCCAUGAGCUGUGGUGUAGGUCGCAGAUGAAGCUCGGAUCUGGCAUUGCUGUGGCUGUGGCAUAGGACUGCAGCUGUAGCUCUGAUUCAACCCCUAGUGUGGGAACGUCCACAUGCUGUGAGUGUGGCCCUAUAAAAAAGCAAAAAGCAAAAAAA